rnacentral:misc_RNA from 1 species
GUUGCUGCUACUUUCCAUCUCUCGCAAAAUUCCCAUGGACAACUCAACCAAACAAGAGUUAGCUUAUGAGCUUGAAGGGAUUAUCCGAGUUUACAAAGAUGGCCAUGUUCAAAGACUCCGAGAAACUGACUUUGUCCCACCAUCUUACAAUCUCUCCUUUGGCCUUUCAUCCAAAGAUCUCACAAUAAUUCCUCAACCCAACCUCGUCUCUGCUCGCCUUUACCUCCCAAAACUUCACCAUCCCAACCAUAAGUUCCCUCUCCUCGUCUACUUUCACGGCGGCGCCUUUUGCCUCUCAUCGCCAUUCACUCUCAAGUACCACACCUACCUAACCAAAUUGGUUGCUGAAGCCAACGUGGUUGCUGUUUCUGUGAACUACAGGAAAGCUCCUGAGCACCCUAUUCCCACUGCGUACGAGGAUUCAUGGGCUGCACUCCAGUGGGUGGUUUCUCACCGCAACAGCGAUGGUCCUGAGCCUUGGUUAAAUGACCACGCAGAUUUUGGAAGACUGUUUUUAGCCGGAGAGAGUGCCGGUGCCAAUAUUGCUCAUAACUUAGCUAUGGCUGCUGGGGAUCCGGAUUCCGGGCUUGGUAUUGGGCUUCUAGGAGUUGCUUUAAUCCACCCGUAUUUCUGGGGGUCCGAACCAAUUGGUUCGGAGGCAGUGGAUCUGGACAGGAAGGCAUUGGUAGACCGAUUGUGGCCAAUAAUUUGCCCGUCGAACCCGGAUCAUGAUGACCCACGGGUCAACCCACUAUCAGAGAAUGGGCCGGGUCUAACAGGACUAGGGUGCAAGAGAGUGCUCGUUGGGGUGGCUGAGAAGGAUGUUUUGAGAGAUAGAGGGUGGGCUUAUUACCAGGCACUGAGUAGGAGUGGGUGGAUGGGUGUGGUUGAGAUUGAUGAGACUCAAGGAGAAGGCCAUGGUUUCCAUUUGCAUGAUUUGGAGUCUGAGAAAGCCAAGCAUUUGAUUCAACGUUUGGCUGCCUUCUUCAAUAGGGAUGUGCCUUUAUUUUGAUUUACAUGUAAACUUCUCUUAAUC